UUCCGUCAAUAAAAUAAAAUAAAAUAAAAUAAAACCAAGUGAUAUUAUUAUUGGUGCAGGUGAAUGUUAACUUGGCUAGACUGCCUGCACUGGUGUUGCCAUGUGGAUUGAUUAAAGGUGGACCCGCCGGCCUUCCUGUUGGACUUCAAAUGAUUGGUGCUGCCUUUGAUGAGCUUUUCAACAUAUUUCAGAUGAUUUCUGAAAAUAUUAGGCAGACAUUCAAGUUUCAGCGACAAAAAGAACCCUAGAAAUUCAAUGUUCAGGAACAUUUGAUGGCGUCUUGGAGCUUAUGGUUCAUGCUGGCAGAAGUCUGCCUAAAGCUAUCAUGAUGAUGAUACCUGAGGCGUGGCAAAAUGUUAAAAACAUGGAUCGUGAUAGAAAAGCCUUAUACGAAUAUUUUUCAGCUCUUGUGGAGCCAUGAGAUGGACCUGCACUUAUAUCAUUUACUGAUGGCCGCUAUCUUGGAGCGACAUUGGACCGAAAUGGAUUGCACCCCGGUCGCUUUUACAUCACACAUAGUGGACGCGUGAUCAUGGCCAGUGAGGUUAGUGUUGUAGACAUCUUCCAGGAGAUGUGGCUAGGAAAGGAAGACAUCUGAUCGGUCCAGAAGGGGACCUUACUAAAACAAUUCAUGUGGAAGGCUAUGUGGCAGUUCAUGUGCAUUUGUAUUUUGUUUUGAAAAAAUUAAAUAGACCAUUAAUUGUUUUGUUGAUAUUGUGUAGAAUUGUUGUCUUGAUGAAUGUUAAAUGGGUGAAAUAUGCACAGGUUCAAUCAUUUGUUGAU